rnacentral:rRNA from 1 species
GACGAACGCUGGCGGCGUGCUUAACACAUGCAAGUCGAACGGAAAGGCCCCUUCGGGGGUGCUCGAGUGGCGAACGGGUGAGUAACACGUGGGUGAUCUGCCCUGCACUUCGGGAUAAGCCUGGGAAACUGGGUCUAAUACCGGAUAGGACCGCACAUUUCAUGGUGUGUGGUGGAAAGCUUUUGCGGUGUGGGAUGGGCCCGCGGCCUAUCAGCUUGUUGGUGGGGUAAUGGCCUACCAAGGCGACGACGGGUAGCCGGCCUGAGAGGGUGUCCGGCCACACUGGGACUGAGAUACGGCCCAGACUCCUACGGGAGGCAGCAGUGGGGAAUAUUGCACAAUGGGCGCAAGCCUGAUGCAGCGACGCCGCGUGAGGGAUGACGGCCUUCGGGUUGUAAACCUCUUUCAGCAUCGACGAAGCGCAAGUGACGGUAGAUGCAGAAGAAGCACCGGCCAACUACGUGCCAGCCGCCGCGGUAA